GAUGAACGCUGGCGGCGUGCCUAAUACAUGCAAGUCGAGCGAACGGACGAGAAGCUUGCUUCUCUGAUGUUAGCGGCGGACGGGUGAGUAACACGUGGAUAACCUACCUAUAAGACUGGGAUAACUUCGGGAAACCGGAGCUAAUACCGGAUAAUAUUUUGAACCGCAUGGUUCAAAAGUGAAAGACGGUCUUGCUGUCACUUAUAGAUGGAUCCGCGCUGCAUUAGCUAGUUGGUAAGGUAACGGCUUACCAAGGCAACGAUGCAUAGCCGACCUGAGAGGGUGAUCGGCCACACUGGAACUGAGACACGGUCCAGACUCCUACGGGAGGCAGCAGUAGGGAAUCUUCCGCAAUGGGCGAAAGCCUGACGGAGCAACGCCGCGUGAGUGAUGAAGGUCUUCGGAUCGUAAAACUCUGUUAUUAGGGAAGAACAUAUGUGUAAGUAACUGUGCACAUCUUGACGGUACCUAAUCAGAAAGCCACGGCUAACUACGUGCCAGCAGCCGCGGGUAUACGUAGGUGGCAAGCGUUAUCCGGAAUUAUUGGGCGUAAAGCGCCCGUAAGCCGGUUUUUUAGUCUGAUGUGAAAGCCCACGGCUCAACCGUGGAGGGUCAUUGGAAACUGGAAAACUUGAGUGCAGAAGAGGAAAGUGGAAUUCCAUGUGUAGCGGUGAAAUGCGCAGAGAUAUGGAGGAACACCAGUGGCGAAGGCGACUUUCUGGUCUGUAACUGACGCUGAUGUGCGAAAGCGUGGGGAUCAAACAGGAUUAGAUACCCUGGUAGUCCACGCCGUAAACGAUGAGUGCUAAGUGUUAGGGGGUUUCCGCCCCUUAGUGCUGCAGCUAACGCAUUAAGCACUCCGCCUGGGGAGUACGACCGCAAGGUUGAAACUCAAAGGAAUUGACGGGGACCCGCACAAGCGGUGGAGCAUGUGGUUUAAUUCGAAGCAACGCGAAGAACCUUACCAAAUCUUGACAUCCUUUGACAACUCUAGAGAUAGAGCCUUCCCCUUCGGGGGACAAAGUGACAGGUGGUGCAUGGUUGUCGUCAGCUCGUGUCGUGAGAUGUUGGGUUAAGUCCCGCAACGAGCGCAACCCUUAAGCUUAGUUGCCAUCAUUAAGUUGGGCACUCUAAGUUGACUGCCGGUGACAAACCGGAGGAAGGUGGGGAUGACGUCAAAUCAUCAUGCCCCUUAUGAUUUGGGCUACACACGUGCUACAAUGGACAAUACAAAGGGCAGCGAAACCGCGAGGUCAAGCAAAUCCCAUAAAGUUGUUCUCAGUUCGGAUUGUAGUCUGCAACUCGACUACAUGAAGCUGGAAUCGCUAGUAAUCGUAGAUCAGCAUGCUACGGUGAAUACGUUCCCGGGUCU
rnacentral:rRNA from 1 species